CCUCCUCAACUUCAAUAUCCUCAUAGUUGAUUUCUUCAAACGGAUAUCCAGGAGGUGUUUCAAGUAUAUCGGCGGGUGGUAACGUUAGAGACAUUACUAGCUAACGUCAGCUAGUAACUUACUGAAAAGAAAACAAAUUGCAGACAGAAAGAUCAUAAAUAUUAACGUUUGAUCACAGUUAAUCUGAGCACAAGGAUGCACACACUUGCUUCAAGAAAUCUAUCAUAGGUAACGUGUCGUUCCCCAUGACAGGGACAUGGCUGCAUAAAUACGUUAGCUGAUGUUACUUUAAAAACUGCAGCGCGGUUACUUAACAUACACAUUCUGUCCAGGUUGUCGAACAAGAUAUAACGUUAAGGGCUUAACGUUAGCCUUCUGGCAGCUAAUAUGAUGCAGUCAACCAACUGGCUAACCCCACAGCUUAACUAACGUUAGCUGCCCUAGGAAAACUGUCACUGAAACGGCUCUAGCAACGACUCUGCAGAUUCGGAUAAGGAGAAGAAACAGAAUUUCUUGACAGGGAAAACAGAGAUGUGCUGCUCUUGCUACACUAGCAAGACAUUGUCAAAUUCAUGAACAACCAUCUCAGUACUGUGCACUGAACUGAAAAGUUCCUGUCUUGGCCCUACACAUGGAUGGCCAAAGUGACCUGUGGCCAGACUUCCCCCUCUCAACACCCACUGUAGUUCAUCUCGUCCACAUCCUCUGCUCUCCAUUUGACCAUGGCUGGAGCCAUGACCUAGAGGUUCUGGUGCAAUGUCUUACUGUUUCAUCUUAAGAGCGUUUGACAUCCCACGUGAUAUCAUCCACAGGGUCGCACACAUAAUAAUCAGGCUCAAAAGCAGGGUCAUCUGAUGUCCACCACCUGGCUGUCACAUAAGAAUCAAGCCUCCAAGUGCAGAUGCUCAGUGCUACUUCAACAGGAAAUUGUUCAGAUGCAAGCAGUGUGUGACCAUAGUGACUUAUAGUUGGACUUAUUGGCUCAGUCCAUGAUACCUUAGCUCUUAAAAACGGUCCUUUGUAUGUUCAACAACUGUACCUAGCUGAAGGGUUUUCAAGGGGAUGGUGGAUAUCCUUGUAUGUCAUGGCCCAUCACACUCAUCACACCAUACAGGGAGUGAGCAGUGCAGUCACAGCAAGGUCAACAGGUCAACAGGCAGCAUGCAAAGGCUCAUUCUGUGUUUGAAAGGCCAUUUGGCGUAAUGAAGACCAGGUGAUGAUCGAUAUUUUUCAAGGCUCUGGAAGUUCACCCUGCUUUUGCAGUAAGGUCAUUGCUUGUUGUGUGUUCCUGCACAACUUCUGCCUCAGAGACGGAGACACACUUGAGCCUGUGGAAGAGGCACUGGUGCCAGUUGACGGAGGUGGUCAGCUUCAGCCAGACUUGUGUGUGGGCGCAUCACUGCUACUCUUUCAGCUCCAAACACCUUAAGGGGACGUGUCAAAGUCAAAACUCAUUCACACAAAUAUUUUGGAUCAAGUUUCAUUCCAUGUAGCAAGUUUCAAUUGCUAAUAGUGUUAAAAGUUGUUACAAAAUACGCCCUGUUACUUAUUCCUAACAUUGUUAAACCCACUGGAAAGUUGUUGUGUUGGAAUUUGCUCUGUAGAUAUUAAUUCAGUGCUUAUCAAUUUUUGAAAAAUGUUUUUUAUUAUUAUAAAAUAAAAAAAACAUUGAUUUU